GUCUCUCCAGUCUGGCUUCUGAUUUCAUUAUUCAGCCAAAACAGAUAUCUCCAAAGUUAUUAAAGGUCUUUUAAUUGUUAAAUCAAAUAGCCUUUCCUCAUCUUCAUUGAUGACCUCUCUAAUCCUUUGAUGCUUUGGUCUUUCUCUUCCUUAUGCCUCCUUUUCUCUAAAUUUUCAGGACACCACUUUCUCCUGGUUCUCUUCCUACCCAUCUCACUACUCCUCAGUCCUCUUUGCUGGAUCUUCAUAUAGGUUCUAUCUUCUAAAGGCUUGAUCUCCUUAUCUCACCUAUACUGCAAGUGCAAGAGCUAUUAAUUGGCCCAAUCCCAUUAUUUACCUCUUCCAUUUCUUAUCUGUGCUGGUUUGCCCUUCCUUAAACAAGCUAAUCACUUCCUGUUCCUAAGGGAUCCACACCACCACAUAAUGGUUGAACUUAAUAAAGAUACUUUCAUUGGCCACACUGCAGCUCAAAGCACAAGAGAUCCACCAGCCUCUGCCUCCUCGGCAGAAAUUACUGUUUUAAAAACAGAGUAUAAAUAUAUUUUUUUCUUGUACCUACACAGCUUGACCAUGACUUCAUUUGUAGCCAUGACUACUUCAGUUGUGUCUGACAUGAAAAGUUUAAGGAAUGAAAGAAUUUCUAAUGAUCACAUCAUGUUCUCUAAGGCAGUGUUUAACAUCAGAUGUAGAGAUCAUCAAGAGAGAGGCUAAUCCAUCUGGGAAAUCAAUCAAGCAUAAAGUCAGAGGUUUUUGAGUUUGACCUCAAUGAAGAAGCAUUUCUAUGAAUGACAAAAUGAUAAAUCUAAAAGAAAGCCUCCAAAUCCCAACUCACACACUGUUGCCUACAUGUCACAUUGAAAGAAAAUAACAAAAACAAAAAUAGGUAUUGUGCUUUGAUUCUUAAAACAUAGUCCUUAUACACACACACACAAAUAUGAGUAUACCCGUAUGACUAUAUAUAUCUUCCUUGCUUCCUUCCUUUUUUCCUUCCUGGCUUCCUUGCUUCCUUGCUUCCUUGCUUCCUUGCUUCCUUCCUUGCUUCCUUGCUUCCUUGCUUCCUUGCUUCCUUGCUUCCUUGCUUCCUUGCUUCCUUCCUUCUUCCUUCCUUCCUUCUUCCUUCCUUCCUUCUUCCUUCCUUCCUUCCUUCCUUCCUUCCUUCCUUCCUUCCUUCCUUCCUUCCUUCCUUCCUUCCUUCCUUCCUUCCUUCCUUCUUCCUUCCUUCCUUCCUUCCUUCCUUCCUUCUUCCUUCCUUCCUUCCUUCCUUCCUUCCUUCCUUCCUUCCUUCCUUCCUUCCUUCCUUCCUUCCUUCCUUCCUUCCUUCCUUCCCAUCUAUCAUCAAUCUACACUCAGAGUCAAGAGAUGGAACAUCUUAUCCAAAGAACAGCAAGGAAGCCAAUAUCACUGGAUCACAGAAUACAUGAGGUUGUGUCUGAAGAACAACAAAGUAAGGAUGAAAAAAUUGUUUCAUUUUAUGCUAACCCUUCAAAUGCUUCAAAAUAG
rnacentral:lncRNA from 1 species